GACGAACCGAGCGAACGUUGUUCGGAAUCACUGGGCUUAAAGGGCGCGUAGGCGGGUUCGAAAGUCUGUGGUGAAAGCCUCCAGCUUAACUGGAGAAGUGCCAUGGAUACUGCGAACCUGGAGGAGGGUAGGGGCAUCUGGAACGCUGGGUGGAGCGGUGAAAUGCGUUGAUAUCCAGCGGAACUCCGGUGGCGAAGGCGAGGUGCUGGACCCUUUCUGACGCUGAGGCGCGAAAGCCAGGGGAGCAAACGGG
rnacentral:rRNA from 1 species